rnacentral:rRNA from 1 species
AUUGAACGCUGGCGGCAGGCCUAACACAUGCAAGUCGAGCGGAUGAAGGGAGCUUGCUCCUGGAUUCAGCGGCGGACGGGUGAGUAAUGCCUAGGAAUCUGCCUGGUAGUGGGGGAUAACGUCCGGAAACGGGCGCUAAUACCGCAUACGUCCUGAGGGAGAAAGUGGGGGAUCUUCGGACCUCACGCUAUCAGAUGAGCCUAGGUCGGAUUAGCUAGUUGGUGGGGUAAAGGCCUACCAAGGCGACGAUCCGUAACUGGUCUGAGAGGAUGAUCAGUCACACUGGAACGGAGACACGGUCCAGAUUCCUACGGGAGGCAGAAGUGGGGAAUAUUGGACAAUGGGCGAAAGCCUGAUCCAGACAUGCCGCGUGUGUGAAGAAGGUCUUCGGAUUGUAAAGCACUUUAAGUUGGGAGGAAGGGCAGUAAGUUAAUACCUUGCUGUUUUGACGUUACCAACAGAAUAAGCACCGGCUAACUUCGUG